rnacentral:rRNA from 1 species
CCUACGGGGGGCAGCAGUGAGGAAUAGUGGUCAAUGGACGGAAGUCUGAACCAGCCAUGCCGCGGGCAGGAAGACGGCGCUAUGAGGUGUAAAAUGCUGUUGUACAAGGGUAAACCUGAAUACGUGUAUUCAGCUGAAAGUACUGUACGAAUAAGGAUCGGCUAACUCCGUGCCAGCAGCCGCGGUAAUACGGAGGAUCCAAGCGUUAUCCGGAUUUAUUGGGUUUAAAGGGUGCGUAGGCGGAUUGCUAAGUUAGAGGUGAAAUGUCCGAGCUGAACUCGGGAACUGCCUCUCAUACGGUUGAUCUAGAGCGUAGGUGCGGUAGGCGGAAUGUCUGGUGUAGCGG